UAUCUUAGUAGUUUAGAAAAACAUCGGUCUUGUAAACCGAAGACCGAAGACUACACUUCUUCCUUAGAUAA
rnacentral:tRNA from 1 species